UAUAUGGAUAACAACGCAUCUGUUAUUUGUAUACCUGAUUGGUCUCAUAUAUCCAAAGGUUUAAAAUGUUAUCUCAGUCAGGAUGAUGAUACUUCUGUGAUUAAUCCAUAUUAUAUAUUCCCAUUAAGGCCUGCACUAUUUUUAAACCACUGUAAAACGUAUCCAGAUAUUGAAAUUGAUAAUACAGCCUAAUAACGCUGGGUUAGAUUUUUUGCUUGUUCAUUACAGAACGAGAAGUAUUUCAGGUCAAUAUAAUCAUCAUCCGUACUAUCAGUGCAAUAUUCUAAUCUGAUUCAUAUACUGUCUGUGAUUUCCUUUCUUCACCUCCUCCUCUCGGCUGGGCUGUGUGGUAGGUGAGCCAACCAGAGCCAACCUGUCAACCAGUCCCAAGAGUGACCAUCAGCGAGUAAACAGAGAUCACAAGCAAAAGCAUGGCACGCAAACUUUUUGUAGUCAUCGUGCUCUUUCUCCUGGUGGGGAGUCUGACUGCGCAGACACCAGAUGAGGAUGGCAUCAUCCUGUCUGAACUGUACAACACCCCAGCAGAGGAUCUGCAAGAUGCUGUGGCGCCCGUGCGUGCCAAGCGUUUCUUUCUUGGCCAUCUCUUUAGGUUGGGAACUCGUAUAGCAGGCAAGAUCUUGCGUCAUUAUCCUCACCAGGACCAUGAAUAGGGAGCACUGCAACAGUAUCCCCCCUCACAUGUGCACCGCCACACCUGUGAGCCGACAGUGAAGCAUCGAGGCAUCUCAACUCCACUCGUUCAGAGUGAGAAUCUGUGAAAUCAUCACAAUGCCGCCGAAACUCUCCUGUUUGUGAAGAAAUAAAGAAAUUCUGCAGCAUUUACCUCUCUGUGCUCAUGUCAUCAUUUUCCUUAAGAACUUACAUUGCCCUUUCUCUCUCAUAUGGAAACAUAUGGAAAGGGUAAUUAUUUUCGCAUGGUGUAAAUAUGUUUUACUUUGUAUUAUCUAAUCAUGUAAUAUAAUCUAUAUUUUCAUAAACAAAUCUUAUCAUAAAAACCCAUAACAGGGAACAUAAGACACACUUUGACAAUGUCUCAGAUUUUUACAGGAAUGCAAACAUUUCAACAUGUUUGCACACA